AAGUCGUAACAAGGUUUCCGUAGGUGAACCUGCGGAAGGAUCAUUAUCAAUUAAUAUCCAAAACCUGGGUACUCUCCUUCACGGGAGGGUACUCUAAACCAAACGUGAACUGUUUUUGCCUCUGGUUGACGUUGAUGUAAAAGGGUUUAAAAAUUCUUUUUUUUCCCUUGUCAAUCAGAGUGUAUUAUUAAUUACAUCACUCUUUAACCAAUUGAACCGUUAUUAUAUUAUUGAAUUGUUGAACUGAAUUUUGUUUCUUACCGAGGAUUGUAAAAAAAUCUUUGGAAGAAAACAUAAUUUUACGAAACAAUUAAAUAUAACUCUUAGCAACGGAUAUCUUGGUUCUC
rnacentral:misc_RNA from 1 species